GGUGGCUCAGUGGUAGAGUGCUUGCCUUGAAUGCAUGAUGCCCUGGGUUCAAUUCCCCAACACCA
rnacentral:tRNA from 1 species